AAACCCUCAGAUAUAUAUCCAAUUCUAAAUACAAACGAAUAUUUGACUGUGAGAGAAAACAGCGCUGGGUAUUUGCAUCUUGUACUUGUUGAUCGAACAAAGAAUUCUUUGAAUUGGAGAACAAAUGGAACCUUUGAGGUUGUCCAUAGAACUCCAGCAGGAGCAGCUCUACAUUUUUAUGACAAAAGAAACGAUUAUGCUUAUUUCACAAGUACAGAAGUUGAAGGCACAGAAGAUGGUUUGCCAAGGAUACGCCAUUUAUGGAAAGUUAAAGCUCAUGGAGAUAGAACAAGGGAGUGUGUCUCAUGCGAUCUGAAUACAAUAUAUGCUGAUAGAUGUAAUUGGGUUGACCCAACAUUUAGUCCCGAAGGAUCCUACGUUGUUAUAAACUGUGGCGGAACAGGGAACGGAGUACCCGUUUCAACUCUUCAUUAUAUAUCUGAUUCUGGUGAUAUUAGUUUACGUGGCGAAGUGGAAAAUAACACUCAACUCAUAGAAAAUCUUGAAGCUUUCAAAUUUCGAACAAGAGAAUAUGGUGAAAUUAGUCUCCCUCAAGUUGAUGAUGAAGUCUUUUAUUAUACUUUGCACAAACCUCCAAACUUUGAUCCAAGCAAAA